AUGAGCCCUAUGACUCUGACUCAGCCCCGCCUGUGGUACCAGCAUGCAGUGGGCGUGGACUCUUCCCUCCUGAUGCCUUCCCAGCUUGGAAGAGCAAGUGCUACAAAGGAAAAUCAUCCUUGCAUGGGAAGACAAGCCAAAGCCACACAUCACGGAAGGAUUCCGAGUGAUGGAAAAGAAAAUGGAAAAAUGGGAUAGAGUUUAUAUUCGUAAUACCAAAUAGAUCUGAGAGUCAUUUCUCACUCAUGCCUCCGAUAUUAGUAUAAAUGCCCUUUUGUAACUAAAAAAAAAUUUUUUUGCCUCGAGUUCAAGACAAUACUUUCUUUUCAUUCUUUUGCAAAAAUUAAUUCGUAUCUGUUUCAGUUAGGAUUAUGUUCUGCUACAUAAAAUAGAAAAUCCAAAAGAAAAGAAAAACCUCUGUUGAGAGGUUUAAAGCCACACCGGUCGGAUCUAUUCUUUCAUGUAAAAGACAUCCGGAAAUGAGCAGUCCGGGGUGGGGAGGGCAGCUCUACAAAGACUCCAGGAACCAGGACGGCUCACAUCUUUUCUGUUUUACCAUUCUUAGCACAUAGCCUCCAGCCUCACGUUGGCUACUGGGGUUCUAGCAUCUUGUCUGGGGGUCCCGGCAACCAGAAGAGAAAAAGGCAAAGAAAACCACAUAGCAUCCCGUUGAGGCAGCCGCCCUGAAGCAUGCUCCCUGAAACCCUUCUGGAAAGUACUGCACGGCCACUACCUGGUCACCUGAUGAGGCUACAGAGGAACCAAACAAAGAUGCAGGAUCAAGGAUGCUGGCUGUGUCAUCAGUCUCUACACCAUGUUCUACCAGCAUCUGAUCCCGACCUUGAAGAAAUUCUUCUGACAGCAGGUUCAGAUCCCCCUUUUUGGACGAUAGCUCGAGCUCUUUUGUGUUGGGAUCUACGACACAUCAGGAGAAGCAGAAUAGAAGGGACAUGGAGCUGCGUAUGUUUAAGUUUAAAGUUUGACAAGUAUGUGUUUGGCAAGCUAUGGAUGCACAAUUAGGAAGCAAUUGUCAUUGCACUUUUCACAAAUGUAAAUAGAGAUGAUGAAUAAAUUUACCAAA
rnacentral:sRNA from 1 species